AUUGAACGCUGGCGGCAGGCCUAACACAUGCAAGUCGAACGAGUGGCGGACGGGUGAGUAAUGUCUGGGAAACUGCCUGAUGGAGGGGGAUAACUACUGGAAACGGUAGCUAAUACCGCAUACCAUCAGAUGUGCCCAGAUGGGAUUAGCUUGUUGGUGGGGUAACGGCUCACCAAGGCGACGAUCCCUCGCUGGUCUGAGAGGAUGACCAGCCACACUGGAAUUGAGACACGGGCCAGACUCUGAUCGGAGGCAGUGGUGGGGUUUAGUGCACAAGGGGCGCCAGCCUGAUGCACGCACGCCGCUCAUAUGAAGAAGGCCUGCGGGUUUCAAAGUUCUGUCACAGCGUAGUGGUUGCCCACAGAAGAAGCACCGGGCAACCCCGUGGCAGCAGCCGCGGUAAUAC
rnacentral:rRNA from 1 species